rnacentral:rRNA from 1 species
AUUGAACGCUGGCGGCAUGCCUUACACAUGCAAGUCGAACGGUAGAGUAGCAAUCCUGGUGGCGAGUGGCGAACGGGUGAGUAAUAUAUCGGAACGUGCCCAGUCGUGGGGAUAACGUAGCGAAAGCUACGCUAAUACCGCAUACGAUCUAUGGAUGAAAGCGGGGGAUCGCAAGACCUCGCGCGAUUGGAGCGGCCGAUAUCAGAUUAGGUAGUUGGUGAGGUAAAGGCUCACCAAGCCGACGAUCUGUAGCUGGUCUGAGAGGACGACCAGCCACACUGGGACUGAGACACGGCCCAGACUCCUACGGGAGGCAGCAGUGGGGAAUUUUGGACAAUGGGCGCAAGCCUGAUCCAGCAAUGCCGCGUGCAGGAUGAAGGCCUU